rnacentral:lncRNA from 1 species
GGACUGCACGUUCAUCAAUUCUCGUACGCGGGACCGCAAUUUCCUAAUUAGUGCGUCCCUCUGCACUCUAUUUAAGGGACCUCAAGUGGCCAGACAGACACAAUCUCUUCCAUUCGGCAAUUCCGCCAGCCUCUGCGCUCCAUCGGUUCUUUCUUUUUCCUUUUUUUUUUUUUUUUUUUUUUUUUUUAUUUUUCUGUUUUUAAUUCAGCCAAUGAGUGGCUGAUUUCUUCAUCUAGUUGAAUAUUGGUUAAAGUUUUAGUUGUUUAAUGAGUUGUGAGACUUGAUCAAAUAUUAUUUAAUUUUGGGAACUCAAUAUUCAUGCAAUUUCAUAUUUAAUUCUCAUAUUAUUUUGUUAUUGAAAUCUACGUUGAUUUUUUAUUGCAAAAUAAUUAUUUGUUAGUUUGAAUAAUUUAAGUCUGUAAUUGCUUGGGUUAUUCUUACAUGAGAACACUUGGGAUAAAACCCAAGGAAAUUGUUUGAUCUAGCGUUAUCUCCAUACGUUUGGGUAGCUAGGAUUGAAUCUCUCUAUUUCUUAAUGCAAUUGACAAUUGUUUUGAUGCCUAAGGUCCAAGGACGUUCCUUGGCAAUUUGUUAAUUAGUAAUUAAUUAGAGGACGUUCCCUAAUUGGUUUAAUCAUAAGGAGAGAUAAUAGUGGUGAGAAGCGUCUUCCAUCCCCAUAACUAAUCUAUUGAAUCAACCCAAAAGAACAAAGUGUCUGUGAUCAAUCCCAAUAACUAAAGUGGAUCCAAUAUUUCAACUAGAGCUUUCUUAUUAUUUAUUUCUCUUUUAUUUUAUUAUUCGCUCAUUUUAAUUGCUUUUAGUAGUUUAUUAAUCAAAUCAAUCUCAAACCCUCCAUUUUACUUUACUGCAAUUUAUUUUUAUUUCAUUUUCAAUUUAUCUCAUUUUUGGUUUAUCUCAUUGUUUCAAUUUAUUUUAUUGGUCUUGUUGAGAAAAAUAAAUAGGUAAUCAAUUCUCUGUGGAUUCGAUCCUUCAUCACUAUUUGCAGUUGUAAAUUGUUUAUAACCAAGAAGGUUAUUUUUGACCGGCUUCGACAACCGCUAAAAAAUCUAGAAUCAUGCAAUUUGGAAAUCUAUAACUCAACUUAUGUUAUUUUCUUUGCAGACUGCUAUAUACUCACUUACAGGAUCUGAUUGAUCCAAAUUUUAAAUAUGAAUUUUUGCAACAUCAAAAUCGGUCCCUUCCUAACAGAAUCAGGCCUAUAUAUCUCAUAAAAGUUCUAGGUCUGUGUCUCAAGAUUAAUUUGGUUCUUGUAUUACAUUAUUUGGACAUUUCUACAUGAAGUCAUGGCUUGAUAAAUAUAGGCUGCCCGACUAAACAAUAGAAAUUCCAGCAAUACUGAAAAUAUUUUUAUUCAUCUCUAAUCCAACAAAUGCUAAUUCAUGCAAAUCAUUCAUACAUACAUAUUCAUAAUCAAGAAAAUAUAUUUACACAAUUAACUAAUAGUUUAAAUACAAUAAAAUAAAGGUUAGUAUGCACAAACUCUUUUAGCAAAUUAAAAGAUCUUCUUUUCCAUUUUCAAAUCACUUCCUUCUCUUUUCCUUUAGAAGAUCCAACUCCUUACUCCACUUGUCCUUCAAAAGUAAAGAAAAUCAUAAUUUUCCCUUAUUUUUGCAUACAAUGAGACAAAUUAUAGUUUCCUCAAUAUGGUAUUAACUUACGCUUACUCUUUCUCUUUCUUACCUUAAAAUCAUGAUUUACCUAAACUUUUUCCUUGAAAAUCUUCUUGCUCUUGUUUUUCUUUUUUCAAUCUUAAAAUUGCUAUGGUGUUUAUGUGAAGAGAAAACUUGGUUUUAUAUAAAAACUUGAUGGGAUUUUGUGAUUGGAAGAUGAUAGAAAUGGAGGAUAUGGGAGAUGGGGUUUUCGGCCAAUUUGAUUGAAGAAUGGAGAAGAUAAGAUCUUUUCUCUUCUUGUGGCCCUUAUGUCUCAAAUGGGUGGCUUUAUGGAAAAAUUAGGAGUCUACGAUUAUGGGAUAUCACAAGGAAGAGGUUGUGUAGGUAGAGGGUUUGUCUUUAAGCUAAUAAACAUCUACUCAUAUCUAAUUUGUGUAUAUCAAUAUAUACCAUAAUUUUGUCAUGAUAACUUCUCAAAUAAGUUGUUGUUUUAUCUUUUAGUUCAUAAAUGUCCACUCAUACCAAUAUUAAGUACCUUUGUU